CAAACGGCCAGACCACUUGUUCAGGCUCGUCGCCGGCGCGGCGGCGCCGGCAACCCCCGCACUUCCGUUCCGUGGGUGCUGGGGGUCGGUCUCCCCGGUUGCGGCCCUUCGAUCUCGUGCCGCCUCCGCCCUCCAUCUCCACUUCCGCUGGUGAGCUCUGAGCCAACUCAGAGAUAUCCAGGACCUCGUCGCGGCUUAAAUAUGCGGGGAAAAAGCUUCCUAGUUACCAACUGUUGCGUCAUACGGUGCUGUGAUGCGAGCAAGAUGAUUCGCUGGUGUGUACAGGCUUACAAACCAUGGGCAGAGUCUAGAGCAAUCUUCAGACGUUGAUGCCAAGUGAGGGGUGUAACAGGAGAGACCUGGCCUGCGAUGUAUGAUCAUAACAAAUUGGUUAUAGAAAGGUUUGUGCAAAUUCAUGAUAAUAAUAGCAUGCGGUUCACUGGUGAAAUUGGACAAUAGUGUAAGUUACUCGAUUUUUAUUCCCAUGACAAACUCAUAAUGUGCCUUUGCAGAAGAACUAGAGCCCCUAAUUACACCAUCAUUCUAUGAAGGAUAAGAAGUGCUGCCACAAAUAUUAGUGUCGCUACUGCCAUUGGGACAACUAUUGCGAUGACAAGUAUUCUCUUGCCAUUCUUGUUCUUCGGUUCACAGGAGGAACUGCAUAAUCCCUCAAAAAAGAACUUCUUUGGACUAAAUGAACUCUUGAAGUCAGCUUCGUGAUGCAAACCUUAAGACAAGAGAUCCAUUUUGAUGUUUUUGUAGUAGAACAGCUGGAACCGGUCCACUGAGUUUGUUGCUUGAUAAAUCACUGCAGAAACCCAGCUUGAUAUGUUGAUUGAAUUUUGGAUAAAGUGGUUUUCUGUCAGAUAUAUAGAGUACUUACAGGAAUGUGAGUGAUGGCAUUUGUGCUAGAAAAUCAGGCACUGGGCCAGAUAAACUGUUAUUGGACAGGUCCCUGCAAUUAUAUUCUUGUCAAAAGUACUGGGGUAGACAUUAGAGCACAAAGGUAUUGGAGAAAUUUUAGAUCUCCGAAUGAAGCAUCAAUUGCACCGCUCAACCCACUAGAUGACAAGCGUCUGCAGCAAGUGCAAUAGUUAAUUGAAUGUCAGGGAAUGAAAACAAUAUUAAAUUAUUCAUUUUCUUCAGUUAUCUAGCAUCCAUGCCCAGAUGAAAAAUAACUGCACUUCAGUCCAUCCCAAGCAAAUUCUUUCGGUGCACAAGGAUCACCCAUCCAAUUUUUCUUCAAUGCAUAUUUCGUGCGAAUUGCCAUCAUGGCCUUGGCUGUUCAUAUGGAAAAAAAGAUGGUCAAUGCGAAGAAGUUAUGCACCCUAUUUGCUUGCAAUCAAAAUUUGCGAUCCAAUGACUCUUCGAAGACAACAUAAUGCUGGUGGAUGCAGGUGGACUGAAAACAUUUUGGGCAAAUUUAAAGUGUCAAAACUGAUACCAUCUGCAUCAUUUGUCGCGAGCUCAGUCAUU